UUUCAAGCUGUGUGAAAGAAGCAAGCAUUGGAUUUAUGAUGGCUCCAACAUAUAAUCCAGCAAUGAAGGUUGUCCGCUCAAUCCGGAAAAAGCUGAAAGUAAAAACUGUAUUUAAUAUAUUGGGCCCUAUGUUAAACCCAUCAAGAGUACCAUAUGCUAUUGUGGGUGUCUAUGCAGAAGAUUUGUGGACUUUGGGAUUCCUCAGUGUACCCUGGAUGACUUGCGAGGUGGAGGCCCAGAGUAUAAUGCCGAGGCACUAAAGGGUGUAUUGUCAGGGGAGAAACGUUCAAUUGCAGAUGCAUUUAUCUUAAAUGCAGCAGCAGCGCUCUUGGUU